CUAGGCUGAUCGAAGCUGACAAGGCAGUUUUCAAGCCCCUGCGAGUCUCUGCAGUAAGGGACCUGCAGUCCCCCGCAGGCCUUGCUGAAAGCUGCCAGGAAGCUGAACCUUAUUUUGCCAGCCCCUUGAAGGCUAUUCUGAAUUUCCUGGUGGAUGAUAAGCGUAUGGCAUACCCCGUGCGGGCUUUAUCUCACACUUGCGGACGACCAAAUCUCUCAAGCACAACAAUCAACAGCCAGAAUUGUUCUAGACUAAAAGGCCCAAAGGCAAACCAAUCGCAUCCUCGGGUGGCUUAAUUGCUCUCCUAAAACC
rnacentral:sRNA from 1 species